rnacentral:rRNA from 1 species
ACUCCUACGGGAGGCAGCAGUGGGGAAUAUUGGACAAUGGGGGCAACCCUGAUCCAGCAAUGCCGCGUGAGUGAUGAAGGCCUUCGGGUUGUAAAGCUCUUUUGGCGGGGACGAUGAUGACGGUACCCGCAGAAUAAGCCCCGGCUAACUUCGUGCCAGCAGCCGCGGUAAUACGAAGGGGGCUAGCGUUGUUCGGAAUUACUGGGCGUAAAGGGCGCGUAGGCGGUCCUGAUCGUCGGAUGUGAAAGGCCUGGGCUCAACCUGGGAACUGCAUCCGAUACGGCGGGACUGGAGUGUGGGAGAGGUUGGUGGAAUUCCCAGUGUAGAGGUGAAAUUCGUAGAUAUUGGGAAGAACACCGGUGGCGAAGGCGGCCAACUGGACCACAACUGACGCUGAGGCGCGAAAGCGUGGGUAGCAAACAGGAUUAGAUACCCUGGUAGUCCACGCCCUAAACGAUGCAUAUUUGGUGUGGGCAGUUCAGUCUGUCCGUGCCGGAGCUAACGCGUUAAAUAUGCCGCCUGGGGAGUACAGUCGCAAGGCUGAAACUCAAAGGAAUUGACGG